UGGGGAAUUUUGGACAAUGGGCGCAAGCCUGAUCCAGCMAUGCCGCGUGCAGUGAUGAAGGCCUUCGGGUUGUAAASUKCUUUUGCUACGRGACGAAACGGUUCUUUCUAAUAAAGAGGGRUAAUGACGGUACCGUAAGAAUAAGCACCGGCUAACUACGUG
rnacentral:rRNA from 1 species